AGCCACAGGUGGAGGUGCAAGCUGCAGCUGGAAGUUCUCCUUCUGGAAGAUGCUGUUGAAAGCAGGCCCGCUCUGGGAGCCGGCAAAUGGCCUAUAGCUGUCGCCACCUCGGUUCUGCGAGAGUUCCAUAAGGAGAGCCAGCUGAGAAGAAGAGGACACAUGUGAGAGCACAGUCCUGUGUGAGGACAAAGGUGGAGAGGGUCCUGUUCCUCUGGCCACAUGAAGGAGAGCGCUACCUUGUGGGAGGAGUGAAAGCCCUGUCCUUGGAUCCCAAGGUCAUGUCUCAGGAAAGGGUGUGACCCUGGGCACAAGAGGCUGCCCGGGUGGGGUUUCCUCCAGGCAUGGCUGCCCUGCCUGUGCACAGCCUCCCUAUAGGCAGACUUCUGUUCUCAGCACAACUCCCAUGUGCUUCUCUUUGGAGUGCCCAGGCCAGAGUCACUCCUGGUCUUCUCUCUGGCAGCCUGGCCAGCAGUUUGGGCUCAGGAAUAGCACUCAUGGAUCACACCUCUCCUCCAAACUCGCCCUCCCUACCUGCAGCUGUAUACAUCCACCAGUGGCUUUAGCAGUACCUUGGUCUGUCAGUGGUUUAGUUCCAGGAGGAAGCAUUCCUGAAGCCCACUGGAAAGCCGGGCUCUGUACCUCAGGUGCCUCCUCUUACCCAGCCGGCUUUCUGUAAGUCAGAGCCUGGCAGCCCAGUGUCCGAUGCUCUGACAACCAGAGGAGGUGAGUACAUGUCCAGGAGCUGAGACCUCCAGCCUGCUAAAUGACAACACCCAUACUAACCUGAGGGGA
rnacentral:lncRNA from 1 species